rnacentral:tRNA from 1 species
GGUCCCAUCGUCUAGCGGUCCAGGAUACCGCCCUCUCACGGCGGGGACACCGGUUCAAGUCCGGUUGGGACUGCCA